rnacentral:RNase_P_RNA from 1 species
UCAGCGGGGUGGAGAAUCGCUCUCGGCGCAAGCUGAGGGAGGAAAGUCCGAACACCACAGGGCAGGACGCCGCGUAACCAGACACUAAGUCUGGAUACACUCGGGAGUGUUGGCUGCGAAGCCGCACGACGGAAAGUGCCACAGAGAAAAUACCGCCUUCCAUUCGCAAGGAUGGGAGGUAAGGGUGAAAAGGUGGGGUAAGAGCCCACCGCUCCAAGAGCAAUCAAGGGGGCACGGAAAACCCCGUCCGGUGCAAGACCAAAUAGGAAUCCGAGGAACGGCUCGUUCCGCGUUCCACCUCGUGUGGAACAGGCUUCGGGUAUGGGUUGCUCAGAUAAAUGAUUCUCUCCGCGGGCAACCGUGCAGACAGAAUUCGGCUUAUAGCCCCACUGAAAUC